UCUACGUCGGCGACCGGCGCACGGGUGCGUAACGCGUAUGCAACCUACCCAUUACAGGGGGAUAACACUGAGAAAUCGGUACUAAUACCCCAUAACAUCCAGGGAGGCAUCUUCUUGGGUUGAAAACUCCGGUGGUAAUGGAUGGGCAUGCGUUGUAUUAGUUAGUCGGUGGGGUAACGGCUCACCAAGACAACGAUACAUAGGGGGACUGAGAGGUUAACCCCCCACAUUGGUACUGAGACACGGACCAAACUCCUACGGGAGGCAGCAG
rnacentral:rRNA from 1 species